rnacentral:rRNA from 1 species
UAAGCAUAUCAAUAAGCGGAGGAAAAGAAACUAACAAGGAUUCCCCUAGUAACUGCGAGUGAAGCGGGAAGAGCUCAAAUUUAAAAUCUGGCGUGCCUCUGGUCGUCCGAGUUGUAGUCUGGAGAAGCGUUUUCCGUGUUGGACCGUGUAUAAGUCUCUUGGAACAGGGCGUCAUAGAGGGUGAGAAUCCCGUCUUUGACACGGACUACCAAUGCUUUGUGAUGCGCUCUCAAAGAGUCGAGUUGUUUGGGAAUGCAGCUCAAAAUGGGUGGUAAAUUCCAUCUAAAGCUAAAUAUAGGCGAGAGACCGAUAGCGAACAAGUACCGUGAGGGAAAGAUGAAAAGCACUUUGGAAAGAGAGUUAAACAGUACGUGAAAUUGCUGAAAGGGAAACGCUUGAAGUCAGUCACGUCUGCCAGGACUCAGCCUUGCUUCUGCUUGGUGUACUUUCUGGUUUGAUGGGCCAACAUCAAUUUCGACCGUUGGAGAAAGGCUUUGGGAAUGUGGCACCUUCGGGUGUGUUAUAGCCCUUUGUUGUAUACAACGGUUGGGAUUGAGGACUGCAGCACGCCUUUAUGGCCGGGGUUCGCCCACGUAC